UAUAUAUAUAUAUAUAUAUAUAUAUUUACCACCUCCUCACUCUACUGUCGUUGGUGUUGUGGGUGAGCACAGAGACAAGUGCGGCAGCUCCUGCACAGCAUUUGUGAGGGUUCAUGCCUAGAUAGGCGUCCAGAGGGCACUCUGCAGAUGCGAUGCGGCGUAAAUCUUGACACGAGCUUCUCUGGUCGUCUUUCCUUUGUACCAAACUCUUGUCAUGUACUAAUGCGAUAACGUUAAGGGCCCCGUGUCGCAGAAAAUCCAGUGUCGACACCGCGGGCAUCGCUUGGCGAAUAAUCAUUCUGAACCACAACCGCGCAGGCCCUCCACGUGGCGCAUACUUUGUCUUAUAUUGUCUACAAAGUUAUUCCUCGGGAUUUUGAGGAUAACAGCUCAUAAACAAAUGUCAUGAAACAAAACACUGACAGCACAUGCGUUUUAUGUUUUUGUGACAUGGCCACAUCUCAACCAAGUCCUGAUGUGGCGUGCAUUAGUGGCCUGCGUCUCAACUACGUCCUGACGCGACCUGCGUUAGUGGCGUGCCAGACCACAACAGCAGCAGCAGUGGGAAGGUCGAAGGAAGAGGCAAAGAAAGCUUCGCUUUAAAAAAACUCCACCAUUACCAGUCGCUGGAAGGGACGUACUUUGUAGACUGUACAGAAGCAGUUCCUGGGUCGUCUGCUUCCCUUGCUUGUGUACCAUUACCUUGUAUCCGUGAACAGGUACCGCAUGUCUGCUAGCCACAGAGUUAGUAUACUUUGCUAGCUGCUUCGUGCACUGUGCCAACGCUGUUAGCACCCCUGAUGUUCUUUUAAUGCUAAGUAAUUUCCGAGUCCAGCAAGCUUUCUCUAUCUGAUUGUCUACGUUCAACAGCGGAUGACGCAUCCUGCCUCCGCUCAAAGAAGAGUGCAUUGGAGUAGCCAAGCUAAAGGUGCAGUGUGUCUUAACGCGGACACGAUCCACGCGUGGCGCAGUUCAGCUACAUCGGUGAAAAUUGUACGCUGUAUAGUCUAGUGUGGCUGGCGUAGGAUUAGAACAUUUCCUAUCACAUGCCAGAGCCAUUUGAACAGGAUGCAUCGACACACUAGCUUGGCUGACCAGCAGCAUACUGGCCUAUAUACAGUUUGGGCUCACUGAAGUGAGGGUGUUGGAUUUGUGCCUUCGACAAACAAAGAAACACUCUCUGUGUGCUGGUGCUGCGGCAAGUGCUGCGGCAAGUGGUGCUGUGGCAAACUGAUUGCCAUGCUACUACUGGUCAUGUUUAAAGUGCAGGGUAAAAUUUUAGCGAUCUUAGCAUCUUCGGCAUGACGUGUCCAACUUCACUAGCCGCUGCCUGGCAUGCUGGAAACGCUGGACUCAUCGAUGAUGAUGCUGAUGAUGAAGUGGUAUGUACCUUUCCCAUAGUUUUAUGCAAUAAUUACUAGAGGGAACUGGCGCUGCAAUCCAUUGCUACCGAUUGCUACGGGAGCUGCAAUCUGACUGAUUCAGGCAGCAUUGGAAUUGUGGGAAGUGCAUGGAUUUGCCAAAACUUCAUCUAUUUGGCUUCAAAACGGCUCUGCGACUUUUUAAAUUGGUCCUUUCCAACAAAGUACUGUGUAAUAAAUAAUUAAAUGAACAUUAUUAGAAUUUUCCAAAAGCAGAAUUCGAACACAGGACCUCUAGCGCAGAAGCCCAAUACUGAAACCAUCACGAUACCGGCACAUGCAUCGUCAAGCAGCAUGGAACACCUUUAUGAAUUUCUUGCAAGCAAGCUAGUGUGUUGAAAUGCAUGGCGUGUUUCAGUUUGGCCACCUUGACAGGUUGAGCCGCUGAAAUUAGUAGCGAUCGUGCAUGUUCGCAGAGUAUUCUGCAGUUAGAAAAGUAAAGGUCACUUUGAAAUUUAGGACAAUGAAGACAGAUAAAGCGUAAUAAACAGAGCCACACUAACGUCUGAAUCCAUAAGUAAAAAAAAUUGGACAAAUCUAUGUACUGCAUGAUUCUCAUGGUGGCUGAGCGAUUGCAGCGCCAGAGUUCGCUCUAGCAAUUAUUGUAUGAAACUCUAUGGUGUUUCCCUUUGAAACAGGUGGAUAUUACGAUGAUGGCAGGGAAAAGGGGAAAAAACAUGAAGCAACAAAAAAAAAUCAAGGCCAUGCCACCCUGCGAAGGUAGCUGACCAGCGGAGCUGUAUACGCCAUGGCAAGAAAAAUUGUGAGCGGAACCGGAACACAACUUUUUUCAGUGGAAUGAAACCAGAACAAACAACAUUUUGUUCUGGCACCCUGGCGCCACAUGCUUUCCUCUUCACACAUGCUGUCAAAAUUGUUGAUGUGGGAAGUAGCAAUCAACACAGAAACUGAUUCCUGGAUGAAAUUAAAAUAGUAAAUGCUGCGACCUUGGAACUUUUACUGCCACUGUAGCAUUAUAGAAAGAGAGAGAAACAACUUUAUUAUGAAGCAUUCUAGAAUCUUAGUCUGCAGAUUUGAAAUAAAAGCAAUUAAUUUGCA